rnacentral:rRNA from 1 species
UACGGAGGAUGCAAGCGUUAUCCGGAAUGAUUGGGCGUAAAGCGUCUGCAGGUGGCAGUUCAAGUCUGCUGUCAAAGCCCGGGGCUUAACUUCGGAAAGGCAGUGGAAACUGAACAGCUAGAGUAUGGUAGGGGCAGAGGGAAUUCCUGGUGUAGCGGUGAAAUGCGUAGAGAUCAGGAAGAACAUCGGUGGCGAAGGCGCUCUGCUGGACCAUAACUGACACUCAGGGACGAAAGCUAGGGGAGCGAAUGGG